UCUCCCAUUUUAGUACUGCUUAUUUAGAUCUCACCAAAUGAGCAGUUAUGCUUAUGGGACAGAUCAAAACUUCUAUCACCAUAAAGGGGAUUACAAAUCUGUUUUCCUUAUGAAAUGGAAGAACAGCUUCUG